AAGAGCCGGGAGCGCUCAAAGAGUCGUCACCGCUCAAAAAGCCGGGAGCGCUCAAAGAGUCGGCGCCGCUCUGACAGCGAUAACCGGAAAGGGAGAGGUAGACACAGGUCUCCCAGCAGCAACGCCUCCGCUACUUCUGACGAGUCUGGUUGGCAGAAGCAGAGGAAUAAGAAAAACCGCAGGGCCAAACCUCCUCCGAUGCCUCUGCCAGGUCAGCCAGGGGCUCUGGACGACCGACACCGCGAAGGUUUGAGCGGCUCCGGGGUCAAGUGGUACCUUCGGUACCUGGAACAGGGCAAGCCCCCAGUUGAGGCCAGAGCCAUGGCCAGCGUCAGAAUGGAGGUUGAGAACGAGCGUAGCAGCAAAGGCAACAAACCCGCACCUGCCGAUAGGUGGAAGAGCGGGCCCAAUAAACAGGUACACUUACCCGCACCUGCUGCAAAGCAGAGAAGCGGGCCACAGCAACAACAGCAGCACAGACCCGCGCCCGCCGGAUGGCGGAGAAGCGGGGAACCCCCUGGCCAUAAAGGGGACGCAGUCAAGAGAGGGAGCAACCAAAUCACUCCGCCUGAGACACCUAGCACCAAACGGCAGCGGGAUCAGCCACGACUUCAUGGCCUAAGAGCCUGGCUGGGCCGGCCGGGCAGGGACAGGUGCAGGAGAGCGCCACUCAGCAGCCCAGUUACUCGGAGACCCUCAAAGGCAUCCGGGUAGCUGUGCUACCGUGUGAGUACCCUGCUGCUGCCUUGAGCCCGGAGGACCUAACCAGACUCCAAGAUGCCAUCAUGGAGGAGGUAUUCAAAGGUUGGUCGCACCCGCUGGUUUUCUGCGGGGUGUAUUUCAGGUCCGGUAUGCUUCUCGUUGAUUGCAGGGACGAGAAGACAGCAACCUGGCUGGCUGAGAAGGCACCAGCACUUGAGGGCUGGAAGGUACCCGGGAUGUGCACGAAGAGAGGGGACGAUAUCCCUCCGAUGCACAACAUCACGGUGUUCCUCCCAAGGAGCGCCGACAAAUCCGCCGAGUUUGCGCUGGGGCUACUGAAAGCGCAGAACGAGGGUAUCCACACUUCUGCGUGGAAAGUAGUGUCCAGCACCACUGAGGAAAACGGGCUCAGGCUGUUUCUAGGUAUUGAUGAGGAGUCCUACGUCAGUAUUAAGAGGGCUGGCUUCAACCUAAACUACAGGUUCAGCUUCGUCACGGUAAGACCGUGGAGACAAAAGGCAACAGGCAGCAAGGAGUCGGAGGCGCAGGAGACUCAAAUCGACGUGGUCGCCGGUUCCUCUGCUGCCCAGACGGCCGAGUCGACAUCGGGCUUACCGGCGGAGCAGCCACCACCUGCAGAAACACCAGCUCCCGCAAGCACGCUCGGGCAUACCGCUACCACCACCUCAGCGGAACACGUGCCCUCAACGCAGGAGCUGCUAUCAGGUUUGGACUUGAGGCGACUAGAGCUUGAUAAGUGGAACGAGAGCGAACUACAGCUCUCCGACCUGGACGAGCUCCACCUAUGAAUCCCCGACUCUUGGCAGUAGCCCAGGUCAACCUGCAUCACGCGGUGGCUGCUUCGGCGGUCAUCACCAGCAGGUUUGCCACGGAUGGCCUGGGUAUCCUACUGAUCCAAGAGCCGUGGACCUACAGAGGCCAGGUGAGGGGCCUCAACCAUAAAAGGAACAAGAAUUUUUAACACAGGACCUAGUCGCAGUGCAGACGUCGCUGACCAUUUGCGAUAGCAACGUAGAGGUGGUGUUCGCUGCGGCCUACUUUCCGGGGGACAGCAGCUAUUCCCCACCACAAGAGGUACAGAGGUUAGUGGAGCACUGCAGGAGGAGACGGCUCCAUCUUAUAGUGGGGUGCGAUGCGAACGCCCAUAAUGUUGAAUGGUGCAGCACGGCCACAAAUCGCAGAGGUUCCCAUCAAACGAGUCCAUCUCUUCACAGCCAUACAGCUAGCUUGCCUCAUCAUAUUAUGGCUGAUAAAAUCUUUCCCCCAA